UUAUUGGGCGUAAGCGAGCGCAGGCGGUUUUUUAAGUCUGAUGUGAAAGCCUUCGGCUCAACCGAAGAAGUGCAUCGGAAACUGGGAAACUUGAGUGCAGAAGAGGACAGUGGAACUCCAUGUGUAGCGGUGAAAUGCGUAGAUAUAUGGAAGAACACCAGUGGCGAAGGCGGCUGUCUGGUCUGUAACUGACGCUGAGGCUCGAAAGUAUGGGUAGCAAACAGGAUUAGAUACCCUGGUAGUCCAUACCGUAAACGAUGAAUGCUAAGUGUUGGAGGGUUUCCGCCCUUCAGUGCUGCAGCUAACGCAUUAAGCAUUCCGCCUGGGGAGUACGGCCGCAAGGCUGAAACUCAAAGGAAUUGACGGGGGCCCGCACAAGCGGUGGAGCAUGUGGUUUAAUUCGAAGCUACGCGAAGAACCUUACCAGGUCUUGACAUACUAUGCAAAUCUAAGAGAUUAGACGUUCCCUUCGGGGACAUGGAUACAGGUGGUGCAUGGUUGUCGUCAGCUCGUGUCGUGAGAUGUUGGGUUAAGUCCCGCAACGAGCGCAACCCUUAUUAUCAGUUGCCAGCAUUAAGUUGGGCACUCUGGUGAGACUGCCGGUGACAAACCGGAGGAAGGUGGGGAUGACGUCAAAUCAUCAUGCCCCUUAUGACCUGGGCUACACACGUGCUACAAUGGAUGGUACAACGAGUUGCGAACUCGCGAGAGUAAGCUAAUCUCUUAAAGCCAUUCUCAGUUCGGAUUGUAGGCUGCAACUCGCCUACAUGAAGUCGGAAUCGCUAGUAAUCGCGGAUCAGCAUGCCGCGGUGAAUACGUUCCCGGGCCUUGUACACACCGCCCGUCACACCAUGAGAGUUUGUAACACCCAAAGUCGGUGGGGUAACCUUUUAGGAACCAGCCGCCUAAGGUGGGACAGAUGAUUAGGGUGAAGUCG
rnacentral:rRNA from 2 species